rnacentral:rRNA from 1 species
CAGGCCUAACACAUGCAAGUCGAACGAUACCUUUCGGGGUAUAGUGGCGCACGGGUGCGUAACGCGUGGGAAUCUGCCCUGGGGUUCGGGAUAACCGUUGGAAACGACGGCUAAUACCGGAUGAUGAUGAGAAUCCAAAGAUUUAUCGCCCUGGGAUGAGCCCGCGUCGGAUUAGCUAGUUGGUGGGGUAAAGGCUUACCAAGGCGACGAUCCGUAGCUGGUCUGAGAGGAUGAUCAGCCACACUGGGACUGAGACACGGCCCAGACUCCUACGGGAGGCAGCAGUGGGGAAUAUUGGACAAUGGGCGCAAGCCUGAUCCAGCAAUGCCGCGUGAGUGAUGAAGGCCUUAGGGUUGUAAAGCUCUUUUACCCGGGAUGAUAAUGACAGUACCGGGAGAAUAAGCCCCGGCUAACUCCGUGCCAGCAGCCGCGGUAAU